ACCUGGAAAUUCUUAUUUCAGACGCAGCAGCGAGGUGAUGAACAAACUGAGGAGGCGUUGUCAGUCUAUACUUAAUGCCAAGUAGCGAUCCUGCGCAGGUGUCGUUGCUCUGUGGAGGCCUCCCGCAAUUACUUGUUUGGAAUGUAAUCCAUUAGCUGGAUCCCACUUUCGUUGCCACUAAUAUCCUCAAACCACCUCUGCUUGAAAUUGGAUACAAGUCCUGCCAAUGGCUCUUCAUCUCAAGGAAUCAUCUAAACGAUUAUGAGAAUUUAUUUUCACAGCAAAAAGGCAUCCAUAGCCAAAGUCUUCAAACAAAGAAGUGACAUAAAAUUUAUAAUUAAAUGACAUUUAUCUACCUGUUUCCCCAUGGGCUCUGGGUUUGUGAUAGUUGUUGAGAAGAAGCCGUCCCACUCGAGCCGGCCGUACAGCCCACUCCAAUUGUUGUG